GGGCACCUGUUUUAGAUAUAAUAUAAAUAAACAAGUAAACAUAAAAUAUAGAAUAUAUACUAAAUUAGGUGUUUUUAGUUGGGGUAUUGUAGUAAUUUAACGUUCUACUUAACAUCUAACUCACUCAGUGACUGCAAAUCACACUCGAGUUUUUUUUUAAGAAUAGAAAACUUAAAACAUUCAUAGUUUAAAAAUGUGAGAAAAUCCUUCAAUUUAUAGUCAACAAAGCGUAGUAUGAGCAUAGGCUUAUUGUGCUUUAUUAGAAAAGUCACAACCAUGUGGAAAGGUCACAACUCAUCAGAAAAGUCAUAACUCUUUGAGAAACUCACAACCCUUCAGAAAAGUGGCAACCCUUCAAUGUGAAAAGGUGUUUGCUUUCAAUAAAUAAAUGUAAUCAUAGAACCUAUAGAAGGUAUACUAAAUUGUGUGUUUUAAGAAAGAACAGAAAACUUUAAAAAAUUGUAGUUUACAAAUGUGAGAAAACCCCUCUAUUUAUAUCCAACAAUGGGUAGAAUGAACAUGUGCUUAUUGUGCCUUAUCAAAAAAGUCACAACCCUUCGGAAAGGUCACAACCCUUCAAUGUGAAAAUGUGUCGGCUUUUAAUAUAAUAUAAUAUAAUAUAAUAUAUAUAAACAUAAUACAAAAUAUAGAAGAUAUACUAAAAUGGGCGUUUUAAGAAAGACGAAUAGAAAACCUAAAAAAAAUUAGUUUAAAAAUGAGAACAAAUCCCUCUAUUUAUAGCCAACAAAGGAUAGUAUGAACAAGUCCUUAUUGUGCCUUAUUAAAAAGUAACACCCUUCGAAAAGGUCACAACUCAUUGGAAAAGUCACAACUCUUGAAAAAAGUGACAAUCCUUCGAGAAAGGUCAAAACCCUUCGAAAAAGUCACAAACCUUCAAUGUGAAAAGAUGUUCGC
rnacentral:lncRNA from 1 species